UGUGUGAGCGGGCUUGCUCGCGAAUGCGGCGGGUCAGUAAUGCCGCUUUCACGAGCAAGCCCGCUCCCACA
rnacentral:misc_RNA from 1 species